AUCGACACCUCCGAGAACAAAGGCCCUGUGUCCUGGGGUCUUGAACGCUCUGGUAUCUGGCUUGCAGUUGAUGGGAAAGGGUUUCCACGAGCAUCGUGCCCAGGCCCCGGUGGGCUCUUAGGAGCCCUCUGGGAGGACAGAUCAGGCCACGUGGCAGAGGAUGGAGGGAGGGCACAGGAGGGGCCAGCAGUGAGGGCGGCCCCUCCCUCCCUCCUGCAGCGCGCUGUUUAGGAGCCACUAGCGCAUGCCCAGUGCGGUGCAGCUCAGUUGCUCAGGCGUGUCCAACUCUGCGACCCCGUGGACUGCAGCCACCAGGCUCCUCUGUCCAUGGGAUUUUCCAGGCUAGAAUACUGGAGUGGGUUGCCAUUUCCUUCUCCAGGAGAUCUUCCCAACAGGGAUCAACCCAGGUCUCCUGCGUUGGCAGGCGGGUUCUUGACCGUCAAGCCACCAGGAAGCCCUUAGGAGCAACUUCAGAGGAGAAUUCUCUGAGGACAGGUGUGAAGAAGAGACAGAGGAAGUGCCUCAUGGUGAUGGCUCUAUAAGGAAAACUGAGACUACGUCUCUCUUUAAUUCACUGGCUACUCUCCUGAGUCCAUGUCAGAUUCACAAGACAAAUGCCACUCUGCUGUCUGCAAAAUGCUCGCCGCUGGGGGAGUCUUACUCCCUUGAGCCGCCACCAAGCCCAGCCCACAGGACACCCUCCAGGCAGCAGAAGACAGACAGCAAGAGGAGGAGCGCCCCGCCCGGGGCACAGGGUCGCAGCAGGAGCGCGGCUGAGUUUCCAAAACAGAUCCCACGGAAAUCUUUCUCUUGCGACUCGUGGAAAAGUGUUUCCUGCGUCUGCCAGUUCCUAGAAGCGGACUAAUGACUUGAACUUUCAGGAUUCCUUUAUAAGGAGGUCUGUAACUUAGAAUCUAUAUCGUCCUCAAUGAUGCUGACCUUCAGGUCACAGCAGGUAAACUUAUAUGCUUGAAAGCUUAGGGUGGUGAAAGUUCAGGGAGGAAGCAGGACCUUUUAGUACUAAAGGACUUAGAUGAGAACCUGCGACAGGGUGAGAGAAAGGUCAGGAGAAGUGCGGACCAACGGCCGGAGGUGGCGAGCGUGGAGUCGUGAUGA
rnacentral:lncRNA from 1 species